GACGAACGCUGGCGGCGUGCCUAAUACAUGCAAGUCGAACGCUUCUUUCCUCCCGAGUGCUUGCACUCAAUUGGAAGGAGGAGUGGCGGACGGGUGAGUAACACGUGGGUAACCUACCCAUCAGAGGGGGAUAACACUUGGAAACAGGUGCUAAUACCGCAUAACAGUUUAUGCCGCAUGGCAUAAGAGUGAAAGGCGCUUUCGGGUGUCGCUGAUGGAUGGACCCGCGGUGCAUUAGCUAGUUGGUGAGGUAACGGCUCACCAAGGCCACGAUGCAUAGCCGACCGAGGAGGGGGAUCGGCCCACCGGGGAAUGAGAACGGGCCCAAACCCCUACGGGAGGCAGAAGUGGGGAAUCUUCGGAAAUGGACGAAAGUUGGCCCGGGCAACGCCGGGGGAGGAAAGAGGGUUUUCGGAUCGAAAAACUCUGUUUUUAGAAAAAAACAAGGACGUUGAUAACGGACGGUCCCCUGACGGUAUCAAACCAGAAGGCCACGGCAAACUCCGU
rnacentral:rRNA from 1 species